ACAAGUAGCUGGGAUUACAGGCAAUGAUAGUAGGAAAUGCUAAAGAUACAGCUCAUACAAAAGCAGAAUGGAAUAUUCUGGAAGAAGUAAAGCAUCCCUUCAUCGUGGAUUUAAUUUAUGCUUUUCAGACUGGUGGAAAACUCUACCUCAUCCUUGAGUAUCUCAGUGGAGAACUAUUUAUGCAGUUAGAAAGAGAGGGAAUAUUUAUGGAAGACACUGCGUGGCCUUUUCUAACACGGAAGCUGCAUUUAAGAGCCUUAGGGAUGAAGUGCCCUUUUGUGGAGGAGGCUCACUGAGCAGUGUUGGAGGCUGUGUUUGUGGUCGUGCUGGCUGUGAAACUGCCUCAGUCCUUCCUCUAGGACACACCCUCUCCAUCCUGGAAUAAUCUGCAGGAUUGCAACAUUGUUAAGCAGCCAGUAUUGCGGUGCCUUGUGCUUUUCACAUCCAGACAGGGUUGAUUCAGCCCUUUAUUCUUUUGAGCUUUUACUUGGCAGAAAUCUCCAUGGCUUUGGGGCAUUUACAUCAAAAGGGGAUCAUCUACAGAGACUUGAAGCUGGAGAAUAUCAUGCUUAAUCACCAAGGUCAUGUGAAACUAACAGACUUUGGACUAUGCAAAGAAUCAUUCAUGACGGAACAGUCACACACACAUUUUGUGGAACAAUAGAAUACAUGUGAGCUGCAUGUUAAACAUAAUUGGUUUGGAGCCUCCAUUUACUGGGGAGAAUAGAAAGAAAACAAUUGACAACAUCCUCAAAUGUAAACUAAUUUGCCUCCCUACCUCACACAAGAAGCCAGAGAUCUGCUUAAAAAGCUACUGAAAAGAAAUGCUGCUUCUCAUCUGGGAGCUGGUCCUGGGGAUGCUGGAGAUGUUCAAGCUCAUCCAUUCUUUAGACACAUUAACUGGGAAGAACUUCUGGCUCGAAAGGUGGAGCCCCCAUUUAAACCUCUGUUGCAAUCUGAAGAGGAUGUAAGUCAGUUUGAUUCCAAGUUUACACGUCAGACACCUGUCGACAGCCCAGAUGACUCAACUCUCAGUGAAAGUGCCCAUCAGGUCUUUCUGGGUUUUACUUAUGUGGCUCCAUCUGUACUUGAAGUGUGAAAGAAAAGUUUUCCUUUGAACCAAAAAUCCGAUCACCUCGAAGAUUUAUUGGCAGCCCACGAACACCUGUCAGCCCAAUUUUCUCCUGGGGAUUUCUGGGGAAGAGGCGCUUCGGCCAGCACAGCAAAUCCUCAGACACCUGUGGAAUACCCAAUGGAAACAAGUGGCACAGAGCAGAUGGAUGUGACAACGAGUGGGGAAGCAUUGGCACCACUUCCAAUACGACAGCCGAACUCUGGGCCAUACAAAAAACAAGCUUUUCCCAUGAUCUCCAAACGGCCAGAGCACCUGCGUAUGAAUCUAUGCCACAGCAAUGCUUUUAAUGAAUUUAAGGCAAAAAAGGUGGAGAGGCCGAUGUGUGAGCAUCCUACAGGGUGAAACAAGACUCAAAGUGACAAUUUCAGAGAGUCAGUGUCAUUACAUAGAACACUUUGGACAGAGGAAAAAUAAACAUGGAUUUUAAAAAAAUCAAUCAAUCGUGCAAAAAAACUUAAAGCAAAAUAGUACUGCUGAACACUCAGGCACAUCAAUUAAUUGUUUCCUCGUGACAUCUUCUCAACCUUAUCAAGGAUUUUCAUGUUGAUGACUCGAAACUGACAGUAUUAAGGGUAGGAUGUUGCUUCUGAAUCACUGUUGAGUUCUAACUGUGUCGAAGAAGGGUUAUCCUUUCAUUAGGCAAAGUACAAAAUUGCCUAUAAUACUUGCAACUAAGGACAAAUUAGCAUGCAAGCUUGGUCAAACUUUUUCCAGCAACAUGGAAUCAAAGACAAAAGAAACUUACCAAUUGAUGUUUUACGUGAACAUAACCUGAAUCUUUUUUUAUAUAAAUAUAUAUUUUUCAAGUAGAUUUUUGAUUCAGCUCAUUAUGAAAAACAUCCCAAACUUUAAAAUGCGAAAUUAUUAGUUGGUGUGAAGAAAGCCAAACAACUUCCGUUUCUUCUCUUGGUGAAAUAAUAAAAUGCAAAUGAAUCAUUGUUAACCACAUCUGUGGCUCGUUCGAGGGACUGGGGUGGACCUGGGGUUUAUUUUCAGUAACCCAGCUGC
rnacentral:lncRNA from 1 species